AACUCGGGGGCUGCGCCUACCUGAUGAGCCCCUAAAAGGGCGAAACCGGUC
rnacentral:hammerhead_ribozyme from 13 species